UGGGGAAUUUUGGACAAUGGGCGAAAGCCUGAUCCAGCAAUGCCGCGUGUGUGAAGAAGGCCUUCGGGUUGUAAAGCACUUUUGUCCGGAAAGAAAUCCUUGGCUCUAAUACAGUCGGGGGAUGACGGUACCGGAAGAAUAAGCACCGGCUAACUACGUGCCAGCAGCCGCGGUAAUACGUAGGGUGCAAGCGUUAAUCGGAAUUACUGGGCGUAAAGCGUGCGCAGGCGGUUUGCUAAGACCGAUGUGAAAUCCCCGGGCUCAACCUGGGAACUGCAUUGGUGACUGGCAGGCUAGAGUAUGGCAGAGGGGGGUAGAAUUCCACGUGUAGCAGUGAAAUGCGUAGAGAUGUGGAGGAAUACCGAUGGCGAAGGCAGCCCCCUGGGCAAUACUGACGCUCAUGCACGAAAGCGUGGGGAGCAAACAGGAUUAGAUACCCUGGUAGUCCACGCCCUAAACGAUGUCAACUAGUUGUUGGGGAUUCAUUUCCUUAGUAACGUAGCUAACGCGUGAAGUUGACCGCCUGGGGAGUACGGUCGCAAGAUUAAAACUCAAAUGAAUUGACGGGGUCAUA
rnacentral:rRNA from 1 species